UACGUAGGGCCCGAGCGUUAUCCGGAAUUAUUGGGUGUAAAGGGCGCGUAGGCGGCUUUAUAAGUCGGGGGUGAAAGCCUGUGGCUCAACCACAGAAUUGCCUUCGAUACUGUAGAGCUUGAGACCGGAAGAGGUAAGUGGAACUGCGAGUGUAGAGGUGAAAUUCGUAGAUAUUCGCAAGAACACCAGUGGCGAAGGCGGCUUACUGGUCCGGUUCUGACGCUGAGGCGCGAAAGCGUGGGGAGCAAACAGG
rnacentral:rRNA from 1 species